rnacentral:rRNA from 1 species
UACGAAGGGGGGCUAGCGUUGCUCGGAAUCACUGGGCGUAAAGCGCACGUAGGCGGCUUUCUAAGUCAGGGGUGAAAUCCCGGAGCUCAACUCCGGAACUGCCUUUGAUACUGGAGAGCUUGAGUUCGGGAGAGGUGAGUGGAACUGCGAGUGUAGAGGUGAAAUUCGUAGAUAUUCGCAAGAACACCAGUGGCGAAGGCGGCUCACUGGCCCGAUACUGACGCUGAGGUGCGAAAGCGAGG